rnacentral:rRNA from 1 species
UACGAAGGGGACUAGCGUUGUUCGGAAUCACUGGGCGUAAAGCGCACGUAGGCGGACUUUUAAGUCAGGGGUGAAAUCCUGGAGCUCAACUCCAGAACUGCCUUUGAUACUGGAAGUCUUGAGUUCGAGAGAGGUGAGUGGAACUGCGAGUGUAGAGGUGAAAUUCGUAGAUAUUCGCAAGAACACCAGUGGCGAAGGCGGCUCACUGGCUCGAUACUGACGCUGAGGUGCGAAAGCGUGGGGAGCAAAACGG